CAGCUUCAAGAUGAGGUCUCUGGGAUACCUGCUGCUGUUCUCCCUUAUCGUCACCCUGACGUCAGGGGCGUACCUGGCUCGACCAAGGUGUCCGCAACAACUUCCUGAUGUAGAUUUUGGAGGCUGUCAGCAAAGGAAUCAAUGCGCACAGGAUACCGAUUGUGGGAGGAGUCAGAGCUGCUGUAAAUCUGGGUGCAGUUUGCAAUGCUUAAGUUUUCUGAAUCCCUUUUCUGGAAUGUUUAGCUGGCUCUCAAACAUGGGUGGUGGUUGUUCAGGUUGUGGGUCGUCAAGCAGUGGAUGUUCAGGCUGUGG